rnacentral:rRNA from 1 species
AGCGAACGCUGGCGGCAGGCCUAACACAUGCAAGUCGAACGAACCUUUCGGGGUUAGUGGCGGACGGGUGAGUAACACGUGGGAACGUGCCUUUAGGUUCGGAAUAACUCAGGGAAACUUGUGCUAAUACCGAAUGUGCCCUUCGGGGGAAAGAUUAAUCGCCUUUAGAGCGGCCCGCGUCUGAUUGGCUAGUUGGUUGAGGUAAUGGCUCACCAAGGCGACGAUCAGUAGCUGGUCUGAGAGGAUGAUCAGCCACAUUGGGACUGAGACACGGCCCAAACUCCUACGGGAGGCAGCAGUGGGGAAUCUUGCGCAAUGGGCGAAAGCCUGACGCAGCCAUGCCGCGUGAAUGAUGAAGGUCUUAGGAUUGUAAAAUUCUUUCACCGGGGACGAUAAUGACGGUACCCGGAGAAGAAGCCCCGGCUAACUUCGUG